rnacentral:lncRNA from 1 species
UCUGAGGCACCACAAUGCAUUAUUGCUGUAAAAAGUUUGCAAAGCCUUUGCCAGUAGGCAGUGAGCUGUCAUGCUCAUUUCAAAAUGCCUUUGUCUUUUUCACAACCUUGUGUUAUACUGUGAGAUGUGGAUCCUUCAAGUAUUACAGGAACUUGCAUGGCUUGUGUACAGGAUACAACAUUUCCUGGUAGUGUUCUCAGCCUAGGUUGCGAAAGACUGCUUUAAACUCAUGGGGACAACUGAGAGUGACAAGAGGCAUUAUUUUGCUGAGACUUUUCAAUCAUCAUGAUGUCGAUGGCACUGUCUACAAAACUAUCACCACUGGAUUGCCCCUCUUCAGCGGGCAAGGCAGCAGCAGCACUAAUAGCGCCCGUCUCGUGCUUCUGAAUAGAGCUUGCGGUAUUGGCGUGAACAGACAG